ACUCUGCCGCGCACACUUCACUACCCUCCGCACCCCCCCAUCCCCACCCCCCUUUUGCUUCCUCUGCCUUUCUAAUUCUCAAUCUGCUUAACCAGGCUUUAGAGGCCAAGCAAAUCUGAGAUCAAUUUUCUCGUUUAGCUCUAAGUGACAUCAUCUAAAAUCAUUGUGCAAGGGCUAAAUAAGGAAACGGAGUCUAAUUCAGGGGCAAACGCCAGGCUAUAUUUAUCAAACGCCAAGCUCCAGAAAGCCUCGGCUAGGAAGCCUCGGCAGUGAAAUCCGAGGUUUCGCUGCUUGGUUCCACUGGGCCUGGGUGGGCCGGGCUGGGCCGGGCUGGGCCGGGUCAGAUCUGUGCCACCUCCGCAGACCUAUUUCUUCCUCCAGGGCUCGGGGUUGCCCGCUCCCGGAAUCCCGGAGUCUCCGCGGCCCGAACCGAGUCUGGACCAUUUAGAAGACGCCGGCAGGUAACUGGCCUCCCCAAACGCCCCGAAAAUUAAAAGCCUUAGGAGGCUUGUUCUGUGUUUGUGGUUUUGUAAAGGCAAUGCCCGCGGCAAUAGGCCUGGGAAAGUCGCACUUUCAUCCACAAAGUUGAGGAGUUGCAAGGAAUAAUUGGGUGUCACACCACAAGCAACCUUGACUCGAUCGGACCCCACCCAGGAUACACACAGACGCGCGCGCGCGCACGCUUCCGAGUUUCCAUUGAGAGUCUGGAAAGAGCAUUUCUUUCUUAAGUACCUGCGCUCAGCUAGAGCUCUCCCGGAGCAUUUUAAAUACUGAAUGCCGAGCGGAGAAGGGAAACAGAGUGUAUUAAUCCCCACUCCGGUUGCCGGUGUCUGCAAGCCUCCUCUAAGCAGCGCAGGCGGCAGCCUGGAUGUCUGUGCGCAUCAAGGAGACUUGCCGGCGCCAGAGUUGUGUCCACAGGUGCACUUGUGCCUCCCAAAGAGCGCGCGUAGAGACCAUUUCCCCUGCAACGCCCCCCAGCCGAACACCCGCCGGGUGUGGCACCUCGGCCGAAACUCCUGGGGCGGCGCGGUGGAGCGUGUGGAGGUUUCCGGGAAGACGCCUACGGCUGCGGCUCCGACUGUGCGGGCUCCCGCCGCCCAGGCAAGAGCGUCCAGGAGCGCGCUGGAAGCUGCGGCGCGCACCUUCCCCGGCGCAGUCUCUUGCCAGCCGGCGAUCACGCAGAGCUGAACCCCGCAGCUAGGCGCGCAGGAAGGGCUGCACAGAGUUUGAAGACACGGCAGCUGUAAGCUGGCGUGAGGAGGCCAAAGGAGCGCGCAGAGCUGCAAGCAAAGGGCGGUGGGGCCUGGACCCUGAAGUGAGUGGCCGACCGCAGCAGCUCAAGGUGCCAUCUGCCUGGCAAGCUACCCGGGUCCCUCCGCCCCACUCUAACUUUCCGCGAAAAUCAGUUCCGCCUCUGCCCCAAGAGCCAAGAGGGGUGGAAAGGAAGAGAGCUUGGGCUGGGAACGCGCCUGAUGUCUAACAGAAAGGCAGUGGCAGCUGGGUGAGUGGUGGGAAAGCUCACAGGCUGAAGAAAUGGGGGAGGGGGAGUGAGUCUUAUUGGAAGUUGAGGACAGCCAAGGGGCAAGAUGGGGGGAGAGGUCUGGCUGAAUACGACGGGCUUCAGCAGCUAGGCCUGGGAGUGCCUCGUUUCAGGCCUCGAGGUGGCUUCAGGCUGGGACAACUGAUGCAGCAGAGAAGGGCAGAGCGCCCGGGGGGAGAAAGCAAAGAGGCGCUACACUCCAAGGCGGCCCUUUGGAACCGUCCUUGGCCCGGGUGCACCUACUUUGGAUUCGCCCAGACUGCAAAUUUUUCUUUCCUUUUGCUGGGGCCACGGGACAGAGCACCUGGGCAGAGCAAGCGGAGAGGCGCCACAUCCCCGAGAGGCGCUUCGUAGUUGUCCUUGGACCGGGCGCAGACACUCAGUAUUGCAGCGAAAAAUCCCCCUCCUGCUGCACUCCUCCGCCACCGGGCUAGGUUGAAAGGAAAAAGCCAAGAAGCGCGAAGCAGCCCGGCUCUGGAAGGCUUUGGAGAGUCCAGCUGACUUGUACACAAUUCGCGGCCUCUGGAGCCUUACCUGCCUUCUUGACUGAAUGCCACCAGUUCGUUUUACGCUUGUGGCCUGUGAGGUGUGUCCCUCCAGACUGAGAGGCUAUGACUCAGGGUUGGACUUUAUGGAAAAAAAGAAGUUUAUAAAACAAGUAACCCAGUUUCUCCAACCUUUACUGUGGAGCAACAGCGUCAAGCAACAAAACCCAGCAAAGUUUUGCUUGUCACUUACAAGGGUGUUACUGAAAUCUGGAAGGCGAACAAUUAGAAGAUAGCCCAAACAUGCUCUAUUGCUCUACACUGAAAUACUUGCCUCCAAUAAUAGAAAAAACCUGUUUUCGUGCAAUUGAUUGAUUAGCGUUCUGCAGCAGUCCCUGGACAAUUUUAAAGACAUUUUGUGUUUGUGGCCAAAAUUAGAAACAAGCAGACACACACACAAAACAACCAUAUUCAAGACACGGUUCGACUGUUUCCUUGACACUACCCACGAAGUUUAAAGCAUUUUUUAUGUUAUUUUCAAACUUUCUUAAGUGAUCCCAUGAAAUAAAAGUCGAUAAUAGAAAUUAAAACAACACAGAGCAAAGAACGAGCUUAGUGAAAUGGAGAAGCAGUAGAGGUAAAUAAAAAUCCUCGAGCUAGAAAGCUCUAAGAACCGCUUAUAAAUUCAGUUACCUCCUGAACUCCGGCCGAUGGCCACUCCGGCCCGGGAGUGCCCCGCGCCGACCCGCUGGCCUUGGCCGUCUCAGCCUUCAUUAUCGCCACGGCCUUGGCGCCCCCUGCCCCCGGCUGCCCAGGGGAACCAAGUUCCCGCUGCUGGAGUUGGGGCAGAGGAGCCCCGCCUCAUUCAGGAUUCGGUGGCCAGCGCAGAGCCAUUUGAAUAGAAGAAGCCCGAAGUGAAACAGAAAAGCUGAAAACUCCCCGGCUGGGCUCUCCACUUCUCGGUUCUUGCUCACGAGUUCCAAACAGUUAAAGUGACGUUGGCAAGGCCGAGGGCCACCGAGCUCUGUGAGACUCCCUUGGAGGGGUCAGGAAACUUAGCUCGAGAAGCUUGGAGGCGGCUGGGAGUUGGGGCGCAACUUCAGUGACCGGGCGCCGCUGCCGGGCUGGGGCUCCCAAGCGUCCGGCUCCCGGGGUGGUCGACGCGGCGCUGCCUUCGAUCAGGUCCCGCCGACCUCGGGCCUCUGGACCACCACCGCCCCAGCUGGUCUGGCAACCCAUCCCGGGCGCAAUCGCGCUCCUCCCCUUCUCCUCUGCAUUCCCGCAGGUCCUGGGGCGGCUCCAUCCCCCCAAGGCUGAGAGAUGGCGAGGGAGGCUCCAAAGAGUUUCGGGAGGGGGCGCCGGAUCUGGUUUAAGAGACCGCGGAACAGAUGGUGGAGAGCUCCUGGAUGAAAGUUUUUGAACAGGCACUCGCUAAUAGACUUGCUUUGACGACUCAGGGUGUAAUUGAAGGGUCAUUUAAUCUAGACGCAAGGUGAAAGAAAACAGGCCCGGGGGUGUGGCAUACCUAAGGAGGAACUAGAGCAUCUUUUCACUAGGUUUGCCUGUCAUUUUGACUUUCCUGGAAAAUACGUUCUUAAGUCAAAUUUUAAGAAUGUCUGAGAAGCAUCUCUGAGUAUCUCUUCCAAAAACCUUUCGUGUAUUUUUUUAGCCGACCUCCUUCCUCCGAGAAUCCUCCCUUUUGAAGCCGUUUGGCCUGUGCUUAAGAGUAGUUGGGGUCUCCUUAUGGUCCCAGGGCAAAGAGAAUUUUCUAACUAGAUUCUCCUGUUUAAGACCUUAACAGAAAGGCCUUUCUACCUUCCCUUCUUUGGCUUUACUCUCCAAUUUGUUCUUUCAUUCCCGAGUUCUCCCAGUGAAACCCUGCAUCUCCUCUAAAAGAGAGUAUUUCAUGGCUGUCCAAAGAGGGCCAUACCCCGUGGCCACCUCUCGCGGGCCUCCAUAGCCUCUGUAAAAGAGGAAGCACUCAGCCACUGGCCGGCCCCCUUUUGUUGAUGGAAGUGGAUGCUGUUCUGUUUCCUCCCUUCCCGCCCUUAGGCCUCUCCCAGACCAGAUUCUGCACGCCUUGUGCAUGUUUCAAGAGUUGAGCACUAAGAUCCAAUCCCAAGAAGAGGCUUGAUCCAUCAUUAAGAAAUCUUACUACCUUUUAAAAUGUUAUUGCCUUCUCACUUUAAAUUAAUUUAGAAGAUUUUUUUUUUCCCUCUUCCCACUGUCUCCUCUUACUUCAAGUUCAGUUAAUUCUCUGAAUUCACGAACAGUGGGGCUGCCCUCAUAGUUUCUCAGCAGUCCCACACAGAGGAAAAGGCUCCUGGAAACAACGCGAAGCUUUAAGCGCCCCGCGCGGGUGUUGACGCUGGCAGCUCGCAAACAGCGUCCCGCGGCCACGGUGACCCGAGGGGCCGGCCGGCUGACGUCACGAACGCGGCCAGCUGCGGGGACCCGGGCUGCAACCGCGGCCUCUGGCCCCUGCCUUCUCGUUGGGUCGAGGGUGGGAAGGGAAGUUGAGGUCUGGGGUAAAAAGCCGGAAAAAGAAAGGAACAAGGCUGAGAAUCAUUCAAAGAUUAAAUGGGGUCGGCUCCCGUUGCUUGCGAAGACGGAUGAGGAGGGAGAGAGUUGAGGGGGUUGGGGGGGACCCUCUUUUAUCUAACCUUGUGAUUCACAGCUUCUCAGAAAUUUACAUAAUACAAGGGUGUAGAUGUAAACCUUAAGGACAAAAAUAAUAAUUCAACAGCACAUAUUUCAUUUUCGCACCAUGGGCCUGGAUAUGUUCCCGGUGUUGGCACAAUAGCUGAUUUCCAGAGCUUUUUACUCACGGCAGAGAAUAUCUGAACUCUCAUACCACUGUUGAAAUGAGAGGAAAGGAAGGAGAAAAAAGGGAGAGAAAGAGAAAUUGACUUUAAUAAUGUUGAUUUAGAUUUCUGAAUAAUGGUGAAGGAUUUUUUUAAAAAACUUAAGAGCAUAUGUUGUGUACAAAAGGUGCAGGCAUAGUAAUAAUUGGGGUCCUUCACUCUCCAAAGUAUCUAUUUCCUUUUUAUUUGAUUGGCAUGAGCUUUUCAUUUUAAAAGCAAAGUCAUUGCCCUUUAAUAGGAAAUUCCAAUUUAUUAUUUCCUUAAAUAAGUGAAGGUCACAAUGUCUACUGAAAGAGAGACCCUGCUGUCAACUCAACUCCUACUUGCCAACUCAAAUAGAGGACUGAGAAGUAAAAUACAGCAGCAGCAAAAUACAUGUGAUUGCUGUAGUUGCUUUUUGAAUCCCCCAACCCCUCCUUCCCACAUUUGAACUCUUCUAGAUGCCACCAGUAAUUCAAAUUUUGGAGCUCUAUUUGCAGUCCCCCCUUCCCCCCCUCCCCCGACCUCCCCUUGGGACACAGGGCAAAAGGAAAGUCAGGGGCAGGGAUGGUAGGAUCCCAGCAUCCCCUUAUUUUAGUUAAGAGGGGUAGAGGCUCAGGUGCCCUUUGGUCUUUCUCGCUGCGCCUCCUCCAAGUGAGCCUGACUCCCAUAGUCACUUGGAAAGGUAAAUGGCACCACAGUGGGUGUGCAAUUGAGCCCUUCACUCUUAUUGUUUCAGUGUGGGAGUAGUGGUGGCUGGAAGUCAGAAAUGGGAAAGAGGUUUCUUCUCCCUUCUUUGCCUUCUGAAUUUUAGUUUUCUGGGGCUCCCAUUUCUCUGCAAAAUACACACCCAAAGUUGGCCAUAUUCUCUAACAUUUCAUCUAAUCCAUCAGUAGUUUGCAGUUAUUUUAAAGAAAUUUAUAAAGAUUUUAAUUUAAAACAUAUAGAUGGGAACUUAAGAUGAGAAAAUGUGAACUUUUUUUUCAAAAAGUAUGCUAUCUAUUCUGCCCCCACCUCAUCACUAAUAAUGCAGCCCUGAUCAAGGGUAAAAUAUAAACCUCUUUAUUCACCCUGUUCCUCAGUAUCCUUUUAAAGCUGGAUUCUUCAAUUAUCUGUUGAAAUUGUACACAACUGGUCUUCCUUUCUGAGAAAGGUCUUCAUAAAUAUGCAGAAGGCCAAUUUGUCGCGGACAUUUUGAGCACUAGAAUAAAUGUUGCUAGUUUCUGGUGCUGUCUUGGCCUUCCAGCCCAAGUACCCCAACUUGAGGAAGGCCACACAACUAGUGAACUCCUUGUUGAGUAGUGGAUAGUGGUUGUUCCCCUUUGUUUUUUCUGUAAAAUGGGAUUAAAUAAAAGCCCCCUUCAUUCAGAGGAGACAUUGACAUUGAAAAGAAAUUUUAAAAUAAAACCACUUUACAUAUGAAAGGCUAUCACCUUAUUAAAAAGUUAGCUAUACAUUUUUCCAAAAUAUUAUUCAGACAAUUGGAUUUAAAAACAGUUCCUCUGCUCAAUGAUAGAUUUCAGGUUAAUCACAUGGAAAUGUUAAAAUAUACACAGGAAUCAUAUUUGCUAUGUAUUUUUCACAACCUCAAGUACUUUCCUUGUGCCUAGACAUCUGCUCUCCCAUAUUCAGUACUGUGUUCCUGGGGGAACAGUUUCUUCUGUAGAUUCAGGAGAAUCUACAGAAGAAACCUUAGCAAAAACUUUUCAAACAAAAUCCCAAUUUGAUUAAAGCAGAUUUCAUUUCUUAAGAAGUGGUUAUGCAUUUGUAAAAUUAAUCAACUUUCUAUAGACUAUUCUAAUUUUAUGAAAGAACACACCUAGUAAUCACAUGAAGUAACAAAAGAAAUGAGUUUAAGUAAAUGACAAUGAAUACACUUCUUCAAUACAGCAACUUUGAAGUUGUUUUAAAAAAUUAUUACCCGGUUGUCCAGCGGGCAGGACCUAAAAAAAACCCUACUCUCCCAUGAUCUGCCCGCUCAGUUGGUCUUUCCAUGUUACACUUUCCACUUUUUGAGAUUCAGUCCUGUUAGAUUGUGACAUUUUACCAUGAAACUUUCUUUACUGAAACAUUUUCUACCUCCCUACCAAAAUAUCCUUCCGAAGUUACAACUGGUUUUGGUUCCUUGGCAUAUUAAGGAAAUGCCCUACAGAAUAAACUUUAGCAUUUCUUCAGCAUUUAA
rnacentral:lncRNA from 1 species